UACGUAGGGUCCAAGCGUUAUCCGGAAUUACUGGGCGUAAAGAGUUGCGUAGGUGGCACAGCAAGCAGAUAGUGAAAUUAUCCCGCUCAACGGGGUGCCCAUUAUCUGAACUGCUGAGCUAGAGUAUGGGAGAGGUAGAUGGAAUUUCUAGUGUAGGAGUGAAAUCCGUAGAUAUUAGAAGGAACACCGAUGGCGUAGGCAGUCUACUGGCCCAUUACUGACACUGAGGCACGAAAGCGUGGGGAGCGAAUGGG
rnacentral:rRNA from 1 species